rnacentral:tRNA from 1 species
UCCCUGGUAGCUAAGAUGGUGAAGACUCUGCCUGAAAUGCAGGACACCUGGGUUCAAUCCCCGGGUGGGGAA